rfam:Caenorhabditis remanei strain PB4641 contig8.23, whole genome shotgun sequence.
GUAAGAAAUCUUUGUGGUUUUCCGUGUUUAAACGCGAAAACUGAAGAGAUUUUUUACAG